rnacentral:tRNA from 2 species
UCCGCAGUAGCUCAGUUGGUUAGAGCACCUGACUGUUAAUCAGGGUGUCGUAGGUUCAAGUCCUACCUGCGGAGCCA